UACGGGGGGGGCAAGCGUUGUUCGGAAUUACGGGGCGUAAAGGGCGUGUAGGCGGCCAACUAAGUCCGACGUGAAAUCCCCAGGCUUAACCUGGGAACUGCGUCGGAUACUGGAUGGCUUGAAUCCGGGAGAGGGAUGCAGAAUUCCAGGUGUAGCGGUGAAAUGCGUAGAUAUCUGGAGGAAUACCGGUGGCGAAGGCGGCAUCCUGGACCGGCAUUGACGCUGAAGCGCGAAAGCUAGGGGAGCAAACGGG
rnacentral:rRNA from 1 species